rnacentral:rRNA from 1 species
UUAAGUUAAUAAGGGCGCACGGUGGAUGCCUUGGCACUAGGAGCCGACGAAGGACGUGACAAACGACGAUAUGCCUUGGGUAGCUGUAAGUAAGCGAUGAUCCAGGGAUUUCCGAAUGGGGGAACCCAACAGGUAAUACCUGUUACCUACAUCUGUUAAGGAUGUGAGGAGGAAGACGCAGUGAACUGAAACAUCUAAGUAGCUGCAGGAAGAGAAAGCAAAAGCGAUUGCCUUAGUAGCGGCGAGCGAAACGGCAGAAGGGCAAACCGAAGAGUUUACUCUUCGGGGUUGUAGGACUGCAAUGUGGACUCAAAGAUUAUAGAAGAAUGAUUUGGGAAGAUCAGCCAAAGAGAGUAAUAGCCUCGUAUUUAAAAUAGUCUUUGUACUUAGCAGUAUCCUGAGUACGGCGGGACACGUGAAAUCCCGUCGGAAUCUGGGAGGACCAUCUCCCAACCCUAAAUACUCCCUAGUGACCGAUAGUGAACCAGUACCGUGAGGGAAAGGUGAAAAGCACCCCGGGAGGGGAGUGAAAUAGAACCUGAAACCGUGUGCCUACAACAAGUUCGAGCCCGUUAAUGGGUGAGAGCGUGCCUUUUGUAGAAUGAACCGGCGAGUUACGUUAUGAUGCGAGGUUAAGUUGAAGAGACGGAGCCGUAGGGAAACCGAGUCUGAAUAGGGCGCCUUAGUAUCAUGACGUAGACCCGAAACCAUGUGACCUACCCAUGAGCAGGUUGAAGGUGCGGUAAGACGCACUGGAGGACCGAACCAGGGCACGUUGAAAAGUGCUUGGAUGACUUGUGGGUAGCGGAGAAAUUCCAAACGAACUUGGAGAUAGCUGGUUCUCUCCGAAAUAGCUUUAGGGCUAGCGUCGACAUUAGAGAUUCUUGGAGGUAGAGCACUGUUUGGGUGAGGGGUCCAUCCCGGAUUACCAAUCUCAGAUAAACUCCGAAUGCCAAUGAAUUAUGGUCGGCAGUCAGACUGCGAGUGCUAAGAUCCGUAGUCGAAAGGGAAACAGCCCAGACCACCAGCUAAGGUCCCAAAAUAAUUGUUAAGUGGAAAAGGAUGUGGGGUUGCACAGACAACUAGGAUGUUAGCUUAGAAGCAGCUAUUCAUUCAAAGAGUGCGUAAUAGCUCACUAGUCGAGUGACCCUGCGCCGAAAAUGUACCGGGGCUAAAACAAUUUACCGAAGCUGUGGAUACCUUUAUAGGUAUGGUAGGAGAGCGUUCUAUGUGUGAUGAAGGUAUACCGUGAGGAGUGCUGGAACGCAUAGAAGUGAGAAUGCCGGUAUGAGUAGCGAAAGACAGGUGAGAAUCCUGUCCACCGUAAGACUAAGGUUUCCAGGGGAAGGCUCGUCCGCCCUGGGUUAGUCGGGACCUAAGGAGAGACCGAAAGGUGUAUCCGAUGGACAACAGGUUGAUAUUCCUGUACUAGAGUAUGUAGUGAUGGAGGGACGCAGUAGGCUAACUAAAGCAGACGAUUGGAAGAGUCUGUCUAAGCAGUGAGGUGUGAAUUGAGUCAAAUGCUUAAUUCUAUAACAUUGAGCUGUGAUGGGGAGCGAAGUUUAGUAGCGAAGUUAGUGACGUCACACUGCCAAGAAAAGCUUCUAGCGUUUAAACAUACUCUACCCGUACCGCAAACCGACACAGGUAGUCGAGGCGAGUAGCCUCAGGUGAGCGAGAGAACUCUCGUUAAGGAACUCGGCAAAAUGACCCCGUAACUUCGGGAGAAGGGGUGCUGACUUUAAGUCAGCCGCAGUGAAUAGGCCCAAGCAACUGUUUAUCAAAAACACAGCUCUCUGCUAAAUCGUAAGAUGAUGUAUAGGGGGUGACGCCUGCCCGGUGCUGGAAGGUUAAGAGGAGUGCUUAGCGUAAGCGAAGGUAUGAAUUGAAGCCCCAGUAAACGGCGGCCGUAACUAUAACGGUCCUAAGGUAGCGAAAUUCCUUGUCGGGUAAGUUCCGACCCGCACGAAAGGCGUAAUGAUUUGGGCACUGUCUCAACGAGAGACUCGGUGAAAUUUUAGUACCUGUGAAGAUGCAGGUUACCCGCGACAGGACGGAAAGACCCCAUGGAGCUUUACUGCAGUUUGAUAUUGAGUGUCUGUACCACAUGUACAGGAUAGGUAGGAGUCUAAGAGAUCGGGACGCCAGUUUCGAAGGAGACGCUGUUGGGAUACUACCCUUGUGUUAUGGCCACUCUAACCCAGAUAGGUGAUCCCUAUCGGAGACAGUGUCUGACGGGCAGUUUGACUGGGGCGGUCGCCUCCUAAAAGGUAACGGAGGCGCCCAAAGGUUCCCUCAGAAUGGUUGGAAAUCAUUCGCAGAGUGUAAAGGUAUAAGGGAGCUUGACUGCGAGAGCUACAACUCGAGCAGGGACGAAAGUCGGGCUUAGUGAUCCGGUGGUUCCGUAUGGAAGGGCCAUCGCUCAACGGAUAAAAGCUACCCUGGGGAUAACAGGCUUAUCUCCCCCAAGAGUUCACAUCGACGGGGAGGUUUGGCACCUCGAUGUCGGCUCGUCGCAUCCUGGGGCUGUAGUCGGUCCCAAGGGUUGGGCUGUUCGCCCAUUAAAGCGGCACGCGAGCUGGGUUCAGAACGUCGUGAGACAGUUCGGUCCCUAUCCGUCGCGGGCGUAGGAAAUUUGAGAGGAUCUGCUCCUAGUACGAGAGGACCAGAGUGGACUUACCGCUGGUGUACCAGUUGUCUUGCCAAAGGCAUCGCUGGGUAGCUAUGUAGGGAAGGGAUAAACGCUGAAAGCAUCUAAGUGUGAAACCCACCUCAAGAUGAGAUUUCCCAUGAUUAUAUAUCAGUAAGAGCCCUGAGAGAUGAUCAGGUAGAUAGGUUAGAAGUGGAAGUGNNNNNNNNNNNNNNNNNNNNNNNNNNNNNNNNNNNNNNNNNNNNNNNNNN